GGGAGCCGCUGUCUCUCUGGGACCACUCUCUUCGUCGCCUGAUGUCCACCGUCUUGACAGAUGUUGUUUCCCAUAUUUCCUGGAGUUUUUUAGUUGCUAAAUCCUGGCCUCUGCUACUCUCUUUGCUAAAAAUGCUAGUCCUUGAUGACAUGGAAUCUUGAUACUUUAAUACAGAGUGGAACAUAGUCACUAAAUAAAACCUGGAAAAAUGUAGAAGAGUAGCAGGAAGAGAACACACCCCAGCCCCAUGGUCCACCCGCCCGCAGUCCCUAUUGCCGCCUCCUGGCUCUGGUUUCCCUGCUCGUGGGGCUGGGCAGCAUUGCUGCAACUCUUGAUUCGCUUUCCUGGGGCCACCAUAACCAAGCAGCACAACCCGGGAGAUGGCUCAGAGUCUCUCUGCGUCCUGGGAGCCUGAGAUCCAGGAGUGGGUGGGAUGGAGAAUGGUUCUCCCUGGGUCACUCUGGAGGACCUCUUAAGGUGGACUUCUUAAGGGAGCCCCGGCUCCCACCUUGCCAAAGAGCCUCCGAGCCACACCUGCCUCCCCCAGGCCUCCAGUUGGUGCCCACAUGCAGCCCCCACCGUGGGGUCACCCUGGGGUAAGGGUCUCUCCUCCCCUGCUAACCUUCUGCUGGGUCUUGGCAUCCCUGGGAUGAACCCUCCUGGCCUGGACCUUGCCGGCCCACAUCAACCCCCAGCCCUCUGCUCCUUGGCCUCACCCACAGCCUGCAGAAUGUAGGAAAAUGGGGACGUCGGGAGCAUUCUCUGGACAGCAGGAGAUGCAUGUCGA
rnacentral:lncRNA from 1 species